UUGUGCAUCAUGCCAUGCUUAUGCUGUGGUUGUUUACUAUGUUGUGUGCUUAUUUCCGGUGUUGCUUCUUCGGGUUGGUUCCGAUAACGUCGUGUUUGUGAGGAACCGUUCGACUACGCCCGUUUGUCUCCUUCAUGGACUCGUUCUUCUUCCUUGCGGGAUCUCAGGCAAGAUGACCAUACCCUCGAAAUCACUUCUAUCUUUGCUUGCUAGUUGCUCGCUCUUUUGCUAUGCCUAUGCUGUGAUACCUACCACUUGCUUAUCAUGCCUCCCAUAUUGUUAAACCAAGCCUCUAACCACCUUGUCCUAGCAAACCGUUGUUUGGCUAUGUUACCGCUUUGCUCAGUCCCUCUUAUAGCGUUGUUAGUUGCAGGUGAAGAUUGGAGCUUGUUCCAUGUUUGGAACAUGGAUAUUUUGUUGGGAUAUCACAAUAUCUCUUAUUUAAUUAAUGCAUCUAUAUACUUGGUAAAGGGUGGAAGGCUCGGCCUUUUGCCUAGUGUUUUGUUCCACUCAUGCCGCCCUAGUUUCCGUCAUAUCGGUGUUAUGUUCCCGGAUUUUGCGUUCCUUACGCGGUUGGGUUAUAAUGGGAACCCCUUGACAGUUCGCCUUGAAUAAAACUCCUCCAGCAAUGCCCAACAUUGGUUUUACCAUUCGCCACCUAGCCUCUUUUUCCCUUGAGAGUCGCGCUCCUGAGGGUCAUCAUUAUUUUAACCCCCCCGGGCCAGUGCUCCUCUGAGUGUUGGUCCGAACUGGGCAGCCUGCGGGGCCACCUCGGGGCAACUUGAGGGUUGGUUUUACUCAUAGCUUGACCUAUCUGAGUGUGCCCUGAGAACGAGAUAUGUGCAGCUCCUAUCGGCAUUUGUCGGCACAUUCGGGCGGUGUUGCUGGACUUGUUUUACCAUUGUCGAGAAUGUCUUGUAACCGGGAUUCCGAGCCUGAUCGGGUCUUCCCGCUAGAAGGAAUAUCCUUCGUUGACCGUGAGAGCUUGUGAUGGGCUAAGUUGGGACACCCUUGCAGGGAUUUGAACUUUCGAAAGCCAUGCUCGCGGUUAUGGGAAGAUGGGAAUUUGUUAAUGUCCGGUUGUAGAAAACCUGAAGUUGGUCUUAAAUUAAAAUACAUCAACCGCGUGUGUAACAGUGAUGGUCUCUUCUCGGCGGAGUCCGGGAAGUGAACACGGUGUCGGAGUUAUGUUUGACGUAGGUUGUUCUAGGAUCACUUCUUGAUCAUAGUUGUUCGACCGUGCUUUUGCCUUCUCUUCUCGCUCUCAUUUGCGUAUGUUAGCCACCAUAUAUGCUAGUCGUUUGCUGCAGCUCCACCUCAUACCUUUUACCCUACCUAUAAGCUUAAAUAGUCUUGAUCGCGAGGGUGUGAGAUUGCUGAGUCCCCGUGACUCACAAAUACUUCCAAAACCAGUUUGCAGGUGCCGAUGAAACCAUGCAGGUGACGCAGCUGAGCUCAGGAGGAGCUCGAUGAAGAUCUUGUCCUUUGUGUUGUUUCGUUCUAGUUGAUCAGUAGUGGAGCCCAGUUGGGGUCGAUCGGGGAUCUGUGUAGCUUUUGGGGUAGUCUUCCUUUAUUUUGGUUCCAUAGUUGGACCUUGAUUGUAUCUGGAUGAUGUAAUGCUUUAUUCAUGUAAUUGUGUGAAGUGGCGAUUGUAAGCCAACUAUGUAUCUUUUUCCCUUAUGUAUUACAUGGGUU
rnacentral:lncRNA from 1 species